rnacentral:rRNA from 1 species
AGUGAACGCUGGCGGUAGGCCUAACACAUGCAAGUCGAACGGCAGCACAGUAAGAGCUUGCUCUUACGGGUGGCGAGUGGCGGACGGGUGAGGAAUACAUCGGAAUCUACUUUUUCGUGGGGGAUAACGUAGGGAAACUUACGCUAAUACCGCAUACGACCUACGGGUGAAAGCAGGGGAUCUUCGGACCUUGCGCGAUUGAAUGAGCCGAUGUCGGAUUAGCUAGUUGGCGGGGUAAAGGCCCACCAAGGCGACGAUCCGUAGCUGGUCUGAGAGGAUGAUCAGCCACACUGGAACUGAGACACGGUCCAGACUCCUACGGGAGGCAGCAGUGGGGAAUAUUGGACAAUGGGCGCAAGCCUGAUACAGCCAUACCGCGUGGGUGAAGAAGGCCUUCGGGUUGUAAAGCCCUUUUGUUGGGAAAGAAAAGCAGCAGGUUAAUAACCCGCUGUUCUGACGGUACCCAAAGAAUAAGCACCGGCUAACUUCGUG